rnacentral:misc_RNA from 1 species
AAGCAACAUCAUCAAAAUAUAUAAGCAUCACUUGAAUAUUCAAAAAUCAUCUAAAUAUUCAAUUAUGUAAAAGUCAACCAAAUAUCCAAACAUCGUCUAAAUAUAUAUCCGACCAUCAUCCAAAUAACAAAGUUAAUAAUAAAUGUUUAAAUUGUAAAUAUGUGCUUCACAACAGAAUUGUGUUCCAUAAGAUUAUUGAUGAAGUUGUAGCAUUGAAUAUGUGUCGGUUUAGGUGUAGGUUUAGCGCUUUAUAUUUGUACUCUAUAAAUGAAACUAUGUAGUUUUAAUAUAUAAAUAACAUAACAGGUUUAAGUGGGUUAAAAUAAACUUGUUA